rnacentral:tRNA from 1 species
GGGAUUGUGGCUCAGCGGUAGAGCACGUGCUUUCCUAGCACGUGUGAGGCCCUGGGUUCCAUCCUCAGCACCA